UCCAACUCUAGUGGUAUUCAGUCAAGAUUUUAAACAAGUAACAAAAAGUCUUUUGGUAUCAAAAACUUGCUAAUUUUGAUGGAUUUUUUUUUUAAUGUGAAAAUUGUGUGACUUUUUAGUAGGAGGUAUAAAUACCAUACCUUAUAAAAAAUCUCACCCUAACCUAUCAGACUUUUCACGUGAUAUUUUUUUUUUAUCUGCUAGAGAAGAUGAACAGUUCUUCGUGAACAAGGUAUUGCUUCCUUCUCACGUGAACAUCUCUUUAUUUGCAAUAUGCCAUGUUAUCUGUAUAUGGUCUGUGUCUGUGUGUUUG
rnacentral:lncRNA from 1 species